ACGAACGCUGGCGGCGUGCUUCACACAUGCAAGUCGAACGGAAAGGCCCUGCUUGCAGGGUACUCGAGUGGCGAACGGGUGAGUAACACGUGGGUGAUCUGCCCUGCACUUCGGGAUAAGCCUGGGAAACUGGGUCUAAUACCGGAUAGGAGCCAUUUUUAGUGUGAUGGUUGGAAAGUUUUUUCGGUGUAGGAUGAGCUCGCGGCCUAUCAGCUUGUUGGUGGGGUAAUGGCCUACCAAGGCGGCGACGGGUAGCCGGCCUGAGAGGGUGGACGGCCACAUUGGGACUGAGAUACGGCCCAGACUCCUACGGGAGGCAGCAGUGGGGAAUAUUGCACAAUGGGCGCAAGCCUGAUGCAGCGACGCCGCGUGGGGGAUGACGGCCUUCGGGUUGGAAACUCCUUUCGCUAGGGACGAAGCUUUUUGUGACGGUACCUAGAUAAGAAGCACCGGCUAACUACGUG
rnacentral:rRNA from 1 species